rnacentral:rRNA from 1 species
AUUGAACGCUGGCGGCAGGCCUAACACAUGCAAGUCGAACGGUAGCACAGAGAGCUUGCUCUCGGGUGACGAGUGGCGGACGGGUGAGUAAUGUCUGGGAAACUGCCCGAUGGAGGGGGAUAACUACUGGAAACGGUAGCUAAUACCGCAUAACGUCGCAAGACCAAAGUGGGGGACCUUCGGGCCUCACACCAUCGGAUGUGCCCAGAUGGGACUAGCUAGUAGGUGGGGUAAUGGCUCACCUAGGCGACGAUCCCUAGCUGGUCUGAGAGGAUGACCAGGCACACUGGAACUAAGACACGGUCCAGACUCCUACGGGAGGCAGCAGUGGGGAAUAUUGCACAAUGGGCGCAAGCCUGAUGCAGCCAUGCCGCGUGUAUGAAGAAGGCCUUCGGGUUGUAAAGUACUUUCAGCGGGGAGGAAGGCGGUGGAGUUAAUAACUUCACCGAUUGACGUUACCCGCAGAAGAAGCACCGGCUAACUCCGUGCCAGCCGCCGCCGUAC